CGGCCAGCCAUGUUUCUCCUCACUUUCUUCCUCCACAAGCCUUGCCUCCCAACUAACCCAACAAUUAAAUGGGCAGCCACCCACCUCCACCAAUCAAAGAGGAGGCAGCCAACCCUCUCCCUCUAUAAAUAGAGCUUGGCCGGCCACCUCCUCCCCAUUUGCUCAUUUUCUACACUCUCCACUCCUUCCUCCACUCUAGCCACUCACUCCCCUUCUUCUUCCCACGAGCUGCUGCUCCCCCUUGCUCACAUGGCCGGCCAUGGCCAUGAAAACCGGCCAAGAUGCUGCUCCCCUCCUCCCUCAAGUUUCCCCUCACCAUGAGAACAUCUCUCUCACUCUCUUCUCCCCUAAUCUUUGAUGAAUCCAGCUCCUUUUCUCUUCUCCCCUCUCACAAGAUUGGAUCUUGAUGCAGGUGCAUGUUGGUCCAAGCAUGGAGAAGGUUGAGCAAUCCUCAGAUCUGAAACUCUUGACCAAAGUCCAAAUCGAGCGAUUCAAAGUUCCAAAGAUAGGUAUCGAAAAUAUCUACAACUUGGCGUUGGUCUCAUCUUCAAAUUAGUUACGGAUUUUGCAUGAUCAAGAUCUGAUCAGAUCUGACUUUGUCGAAUUAAACCAGGAGUUUGGAGACGAAUUUUUGAAUGAAACCAACUGGGGGAUAAUUGGUUUAUACCAUGGUGAUAGCCGAGAGAGGCAAUUGCUAAGUUAUGAUGCACUCAUGCCUCUACUAGAUGCGAACUAUUCCGGAGGAGAAGAAGAAGAGGAAUCGGACGAGGAUUUUAUUUAUGUUGUUGGGAUUCUUAUAUUGAUGGAGUUGAAGAAUUCCAGGGACAAAUAAGCCAAGGCAAGCCAUCUUUGAACUCUGAAUGAUGUGGUGUUGGAUGUCAAUUUUUGAUGUCCCUAAGCAUCUUAUCCCUUAUGUGAUGUUCUCUCUAUGUUGGUCUAUGUAUGGAUGUAAUUGGAGUAUUUCCUUGUGGUGGUCUUUCACCUUUGUUCACAUGUUGGAGGGAUGCACGGUAUCACGGCCGUGCUACUCCUUUGGGUCCACUUGUGUGCUCAACAUGAGCAUGUCAUUUCCAAAAUAGAGUCUUACACCACACCCCCACCUUGUUGAGUCUAGAAGUAUCAAGGUCAUGAAGCUUGGUGUAAUUCUCAACUUGA